GGUUGCCUUGGCCACUGCCUUAACAAAAGGUGCUCAGUGCUGCAGGAACCUCAGAGAGCCUCAGAACUGUCUGUCCGAGGACAAAAGGGGAAAGCGUUUAUCAUGGACGUUUAUCCUUCUCUGUUGCUAAGGGAGAUCCUAGUGUUAUUAACUCCUCUGCACUCUUCUACAGCAGUGGUGAGUUUCAGGCAUGGUCCCACGCUUUGCCUCUGAGAAGCCCUGAGGCUGGAAGCUGCAGGUGCACAGCAUGGCAAAAGGGUUUAAAACACUGUGCAACUGAGUGAAAUGGACUGAGAAAUAUAAGAGAAGUAACAGUUUGAAAACUCAGGGUCAAAAAGAAAACUGAGUGUAGAAGAUCAUUUUUUCAGGUUGACCACACAGACUAUGGCAUCAGACAGCCUGGGUCCAAACCCAGCUGCACCACACAACUAUACUGAAGCCACUCUGAGCAUCGGUGUCCACAUCUGUGCCUACCUCAUCCAGGAGAAUGAGGGACUCAGCUGAAGAAACAAGAUGGAAAAAAGUAAGAGGUUCAAGCCAGCAAUGACAGCGUGAGCCUGUCCUGGAGGAAGUGGGAGCCUUGGAGCCUUUGUGAACAGAAACGAUACUCUGAAAGAGGACACAGGCUGUGAACAGGGUCAGUUUAGAGCUCUGUAGGACCAGGUACUUUUUUGUGGGUGCACCCUAUGUCAUGUCAAACAUAGAAAAUACACCCAUAUCCCACACUGAAUAUAACUGAUGUGCAUUAUGAGGAGGUGACAUUGACAGGAUAACAAAGUUAUUUAGUAGAUACUUAGUUGAAUGUCUAAUUUUGAUGGUGGAGUUUUCAUUCUGUAUUUUAAAGCAACUUCAUUCAUUCAGGUCUGCAAUAUUUUGUGAGUCCCUUGCAAAACUGGUUUAGGGCCAAGGCAUUGCUUAUAGGGAGGGAUGGGUAGAGCAGACUUCAGCAGAGUAAGAGGGUAAGGCGGAAGCGUAAAAGUGGACAAAGAGCAAGUACAUAUUGCCGUUGUGUGUGGUAGGGCAUUUCCUGGCCUUCGCUGAAGAUCAGAGGUCAGGAGAAUGCAUUGAGUUUUGUUUCAGGAGGACGUGUGGAAAUGUCCAUACUGCCUCCUCUAGUGCUCUGCCGAUUGGAAC